CGUAGGGUGCGAGCGUUAAUCGGAAUUACUGGGCGUAAAGCGUGCGCAGGCGGCGCCGCAAGUCAGGCGUGAAAUCCCCGAGCUUAACUUGGGAAUGGCGCUUGAAACUACGGUGCUGGAGUGUGGCAGAGGGAGGUGGAAUUCCACGUGUAGCGGUGAAAUGCGUAGAGAUGUGGAGGAACACCGAUGGCGAAGGCAGCCUCCUGGGCCAACACUGACGCUCAUGCACGAAAGCGUGGGGAGCAAACAGGAUUAGAUACCCUGGUAGUCCACGCCCUAAACGAUGACGACUAGUUGUUGGGGGAGUUAAAUCCCUUAGUAACGCAGCUAACGCGUGAAGUCAUCCGCCUGGGGAGUACGGUCGCAAGAUUA
rnacentral:rRNA from 1 species